rnacentral:rRNA from 1 species
UACGUAGGGUGCAAGCGUUGCCCGGAUUUAUUGGGCGUAAAGAGCUCGUAGGUGGUUCGGUAAGUCGGAUGUGAAAUCUCCAGGCUCAACCUGGAGGGGUCAUUCGAUACUGCCGUGACUAGAGUUCGGUAGGGGAGUGUGGAAUUCCUGGUGGAGCGGUGAAAUGCGCAGAUAUCAGGAGGAACACCCGUAGCGAAGGCGGCACUCUGGGCCGAUACUGACACUGAGGAGCGAAAGCGUGGGGAGCGAACAGG